AACGAACGCUGGCGGCAUGCCUAACACAUGCAAGUCGAACGAGACCUUCGGGUCUAGUGGCGCACGGGUGCGUAACGCGUGGGAACCUGCCCUUAGGUUCGGAAUAACUCCCCGAAAGGGGUGCUAAUACCGGAUAAUGUCUUCGGACCAAAGAUUUAUCGCCUUUGGAUGGGCCCGCGUUGGAUUAGCUAGUUGGUAGGGUAAAAGCCUACCAAGGCGACGAUCCAUAGCUGGUCUGAGAGGAUGAUCAGCCACACUGGGACUGAGACACGGCCCAGACUCCUACGGGAGGCAGCAGUGGGGAAUAUUGGACAAUGGGCGAAAGCCUGAUCCAGCAAUGCCGCGUGAGUGAUGAAGGCCUUAAGGUUGUAAAGCUCUUUUACCCGGGAUGAUAAUGACAGUACCGGGAGAAUAAGCGCCGGCUAACUCCGUG
rnacentral:rRNA from 1 species